rnacentral:rRNA from 1 species
GACGAACGCUGGCGGCGUGCUUAACACAUGCAAGUCGAACGGAAAGGCCCUGCUUUUGUGGGGUGCUCGAGUGGCGAACAGGUGAGUAACACGUGAGUAACCUGCCCUUGGCUUUGGGAUAACUUCAGGAAACUGGGGCUAAUACCGGAUAGGAGCUCCUGCUGCAUGGUGGGGGUUGGAAAGUUUCGGCGGUUGGGGAUGGACUCGCGGCUUAUCAGCUUGUUGGUGGGGUAGUGGCUUACCAAGGCUUUGACGGGUAGCCGGCCUGAGAGGGUGACCGGCCACAUUGGGACUGAGAUACGGCCCAGACUCCUACGGGAGGCAGCAGUGGGGAAUAUUGCACAAUGGGCGGAAGCCUGAUGCAGCAACGCCGCGUGCGGGAUGACGGCCUUCGGGUUGUAAACCGCUUUCGCCUGUGACGAAGCGUGAGUGACGGUAAUGGGUAAAGAAGCACCGGCUAACUACGUGCCAGCAGCCGCGGUGAUACGUAGGGUGCGAGCGUUGUCCGGAUUUAUUGGGCGUAAAGGGCUCGUAGGUGGUUGAUCGCGUCGGAAGUGUAAUCUUGGGGCUUAACCCUGAGCGUGCUUUCGAUACGGGUUGACUUGAGGAAGGUAGGGGAGAAUGGAAUUCCUGGUGGAGCGGUGGAAUGCGCAGAUAUCAGGAGGAACACCAGUGGCGAAGGCGGUUCUCUGGGCCUUUCCUGACGCUGAGGAGCGAAAGCGUGGGGAGCGAACAGGCUUAGAUACCCUGGUAGUCCACGCUGUAAACGGUGGGUACUAGGUGUGGGGUCCAUUCCACGGGUUCCGUGCCGUAGCUAACGCUUUAAGUACCCCGCCUGGGGAGUACGGCCGCAAGGCUAAAACUCAAAGGAAUUGACGGGGCCCCGCACAAGCGGCGGAGCAUGCGGAUUAAUUCGAUGCAACGCGUAGAACCUUACCUGGGUUUGACAUGGAUCGGGAGUGCUCAGAGAUGGGUGUGCCUCUUUUGGGGUCGGUUCACAGGUGGUGCAUGGCUGUCGUCAGCUCGUGUCGUGAGAUGUUGGGUUAAGUCCCGCAACGAGCGCAACCCUUGUUCACUGUUGCCAGCACGUUAUGGUGGGGACUCAGUGGAGACCGCCGGGGUCAACUCGGAGGAAGGUGGGGAUGACGUCAAGUCAUCAUGCCCCUUAUGUCCAGGGCUUCACGCAUGCUACAAUGGCUGGUACAGAGAGUGGCGAGCCUGUGAGGGUGAGCGAAUCUCGGAAAGUCGGUCUCAGUUCGGAUUGGGGUCUGCAACUCGACCUCAUGAAGUCGGAGUCGCUAGUAAUCGCAGAUCAGCAACGCUGCGGUGAAUACGUUCCCGGGGCU